AAAAAAAAAAAGGGAAGAAAAAAAAAGAAAUUGAAGGUGACACAUGUGUUUGUUUGGUAAAUGUUGCGGUCUAUAUGGGGUGGGUGGAAAUUUGUGGCGAUUCUUGUAAUCUCAUUGAACCAAAGAGCUGCAAUUACUGGUACAAGAGUAGUCUUAGCUUUAAUAACACUCCAUUGGAAAAUUAGUAUCUUUCUUUCACCAACGGCUUCACAGCAACAAAAGUCAGUCUUUCCGCGCAAUACAGUUACUCAUCUGGUUCUUUGAUGGGCAAGAAGCAGCACUUAGAUUGGACAACGAGGUCCAUUUCUUCCUCAGGGAGUGAGAGAGUCUCUCUCUUGACAAAGGAGGCACGGAGGAAAGCAAAUGAAGACCAAUCACCCGAUGGUCCUCCAAACGACCUGGAACUUGGAGAUGGAGUGGAGGUGAUAGCUAUUAAUGUUCUUUCAUGCAAUAUUUAUGCUCAUCAAGCUAUUUUUGAAGUCUAGCUGACCUUGUUUUUUGAAAAUUCAGGCAGCAAAUGUUGGGUUUGGUAGAGUAUUUUCACUGGCAAAGCCUGAUGCUGGGAAGCUUGUAGUUGGCACCAUUGCACUACUGAUAGCAUCCACAUCAAGUAUUCUGAUUGUAGGAUAAUUAAACAAAUCGCAAGAUCAAAAUUGAAUUUAAAAGUAACUAGGCUCCUGUCCUACUAAGGUGUUAUCUCUGUAACCGGUUAUAAAUUCUUAUAUUGCAGCCAAAAUAUGGUGGAAUGAUAAUAGACAUUGUGUCAAGAGAUACAAGUGCUCCUGAAGAGCAAUCACAAGCUUUAGAUGCAGUCAAGAACACCAUACUGGAUAUUGUGCUGAUAGUGGUAAUUGGUUCUUUGUGCACUGCACUUCGAGCAUGGCUGUUUGCUUCUGCCAGUGAAAGAGUUGUCGCUCGUUUGAGAAAGGACUUAUUCAGCCACCUAAUCAACCAGGAAAUAGCCUUCUUUGAUGUUACUCGAACAGGGGAACUUCUCAGCAGGCUGUCAGAGGACACCCAGGUCAUAAAAAAUGCUGCAACAACCAAUCUUUCUGAGGCGCUCCGUAAUGUAACAACUGCCUUAAUUGGUGUUGCCUUCAUGUUUACAUCAUCAUGGAAAUUAACAUUGUUGGCUUUGGUGGUUGUGCCAAUAAUUUCAGUUGCUGUAAGAAAGUUUGGGCGCUAUCUUCGUGAACUUUCACAUGCAACUCAAGCUGCAGCUGCAGUAGCUGCUUCCAUAGCUGAGGUUCGUAAGCAACAUCAUAUUUUACUUUUUAUCUUUUAUAUAAUUAGUUUUUAUUUCCUUAUUAAGAUGUCAGAAAUUGUUAAUUUCAUAAUUGGCAUACAUUCACAAUGUACAUUGUUUUUAAAGCAACAAAGUUUGAUGAAUCUAGGAAGAUUGUGAAAACCCUACUAAAUGUUUUAUUGGUGCUUGGAUGAUAGGUUUGAUCAUGAACUUUAUGCUGUAAAUCAAACAUAGUUUUGAACUGUUUUAUAGAUUCCUGGUGCUUCCUUUUCUCCUUAUUUUGGAUCUAUUGAAUAUAACAGUCAGUUGAGUUAUUGGUCAUAAUUUUUUCCUAAGAAAAAUUGAUGUUUAGGAAUCCUUUGGGGCCAUUCGAACAGUUAGAUCUUUUGCCCAAGAAAGUUAUGCAAUUUCAAAUUAUUCGGAAAAAGUUGAUGAGACGCUAAAGCUGGGACUCAGACAAGCAAGGGUAGUUGGUCUGUUUUUUGGAGGACUAAAUGCCGCAUCCACUUUAUCUGUGAUCAUAGUGGUAGUUUAUGGGGCAUACCUGACAAUAAUAGGCUCCAUGACCGCGGGCGCUCUUACAUCCUUCAUUCUUUAUAGCCUCACAGUUGGUUCUUCAGUAUCUUCUUUGUCAGGAUUGUAUACUACUGCGAUGAAAGCUGCAGGGGCAAGUAGGAGAGUUUUUCAGCUCCUGGAUCGUGUCUCAAGCAUGCCAAAAUCUGGGGAUAAGUGUCCUAUUAGUGAUCCUGAUGGGGAUGUGGAAUUGGAUGAUGUCUGGUUUGCUUAUCCUUCUCGACCAAGUCAUCUGGUACUCAAGGUAAUACUAUUCUCUCAAGGAAAAGAAAAAGAAAGGAAGAGCGAAAGAUGUGUUUAACUAUGAUAAAUAUGUAGCUCUGCCACUUAUCUUCUAAUAAAUUGCUUGCUUUCAAUCUUCCUUUUUCUCCCAACUUUCAGUCUACAUUGAUUUUGCCCUUUUGGGCUACCCUUGUAGUCUUUAGGACAUACUAGUUCCUUCCAUGACAGAGCAUGCAAGAUUAUCAACACUAAUAGCAAAUGAGACAUAAGAUCUAAGAAUUCAGUUUGGUUCUGUAUCAUAUUCAGGAUCAUAUUCAGUGCUGUGUGAGUGUUUGGAAUUUCUUUUAGUUGCAAUAUUCAGACGGGAAGAAUGCAGGGAUUUCAACAUUUUUAACUUAAUGACCAUGUCUAAUACUCAUUGGUACCACAGGGUAUAACGUUGAAACUGAACCCAGGCUCAAAAGUUGCUCUUGUUGGUCCAAGUGGUGGCGGCAAGACAACAAUAGCAAACUUAAUUGAAAGGUUCUAUGAUCCUCUCAAGGGAAAGAUCUUGCUAAAUGGGUUUCCACUAGUGGAAAUAUCACAUGAGUAUCUUCACAGAAAGGUCAGUAUAGUGAGCCAGGAACCAGUUCUAUUCAAUUGUUCUGUUGAGGAGAACAUCGCCUAUGGGUUUAACGGCAAGGCUAGUUCUUCUGACAUAGAAACUGUUGCUAAAAUGGCUAAUGCCCAUGACUUCAUAGAAAAGUUUCCUGAAAAAUAUCAAACGGAGGUUGGUGAACGUGGGUUGAGACUUUCAGGAGGCCAAAAACAAAGAGUGGCCAUUGCAAGAGCACUAUUGAUGAAUCCAAGCAUUUUACUUUUGGAUGAAGCCACAAGUGCUCUGGAUGCAGAGAGCGAAUACCUUGUUCAGGUGCGUUGGCUUUUUCUACAACAAUUUUCAUUAUUGGUUUCAGUCAUUUCCUAAUAAUUUCCCUUGACUCAUAUCUAACCAACUAAAAUUGACCUAUAUUUAGCACUUUUAGCUUUAGUCAAUUCUAUCUUAAUUCCCUGUUACUGGUGCCAUUGCUUCUUCCUUACACAUAACAUGACCAUCUGAAUCAGUUAAGUAUUGUGAAUUCAUUGAAGAAGCACCAUCCUAUGAUUUUUAUAUGUCUAGCCUGGAGGCAGGCAACUGAGAAUGACACCCAAAAAAGAGGGAAAUGCCAUGAGUCUGGUUGAGGUGUUAUGUAUUCAUAAUCUGUAUAUAUCUUAAAGAUUUUGAUUUCAGAAUUUACUUCUCUCUUACUGUUUUCUAUUCACUUGCUCUCCAAUUCGCCUACAUAAAAAUCGCUAGAAUUCACCUGUUUAUUCGCGUUUAAUGCAAGAAGUUUAUGAUGACAUUGGCUCUCACCUAUUUCUUUUUAUUCAAUCAACAAAAUUUAGAUUACUAUUUUUCUUAUUUGUCAAAAAAGAAAUUAGUUUCACCAGCACCAGUUCAAAGAUAAAACGAGAAAAUUUUCCAUUUGGCCAGUGUAAUGAAAGUUUCUUUCUUCUUUCUAACUUUUACUAACUCUUUUUUUUUUUUUGGAUGGAUGCAUAGGAUGCCAUGGAUUCCCUAAUGAGGGGUAGGACUGUUCUUGUUAUAGCACACAGGCUUUCAACUGUGAAAAGUGCAGACACAGUUGCUGUGAUAUCCGAUGGUCAGAUAGCUGAAAUCGGCACCCAUGAAGAUCUUCUGAGCAAGGAUGGUAUCUACACCGCACUAGUCAGGAGACAACUGCAAGAACACAAAACUGCACUCUAGUUUUUGACAGGAAACAAGUUCUUCCAAAACAUAAUGAAAUCAAUCCUCUAGCUAAAUAGAGCAGUUUCCUCCAGAAAAAGGACUUUUCACAAACUGUUAAUUUUGAAGAUAGUAUUAUCAUGCAAAUGGUUCUUAAACAAUGCCAGCACUGUCAACUCUGAAAUAGGUUGUAUCGCAAAUGAUUUAACCAAGAAAUGCAGGUGAAUUAGUGCCAAAUUGCUUGGAGAUAAACCAUUGUUGGAUAACUAGAAUUAUCAAGAUAAAUACCGUUAGUUACCCCUAUAUUGAAGAAGCAAUAAGACGUAAUGGAAAAUACACAGAUAGGAUAGGAAUUUCCGAACAAC
rnacentral:misc_RNA from 1 species